AAAGAAUUAUAAAAUAUAACAAUUUAUUUGUAAUUAGUCUAAAAUAGAUAUAAGUAAAUUAAAAAAGGUAAAUUACACCAAUAGUCAUUUAACUUUAGGGUAGUUGACAAAGUAGUCACUUUAACUAUUUUUCGUUACAGACUUAACGGAAAAAUGACCUGGCUUCCUACUGUGUAAACGGCCCUAAUUUAAAAUCCCAGUUGGGUUGGGCCUAAUUUAAAAUCCCAGUUGGGUUGGACAAUAAAAGAAAAAUAAGAAACAUAGAAGAAGAAGAAAAAAAGAAAAAAAAGAAGAGGAUGAGUAGAAGAGAAACAUGAGUUUGUUGCAACUCAUUCUCCCAGGGUACUGGAAAAAUAAGCUGGGCUAGACAGUAUGAGGUUGUGGAAGAACAUGCUCCCAAGGUACCGAAAAACGAGUCGUCACUGAGUUCAACUUGGUUUCGAGACAUACCCAGAUAAAGAUUUUGCUUUUAAAGCAAGUUUCAAUAAGUUAAACGAUAGUUUCGGUAGAAACCUAGUGAGUUUGUUGUAACUCAGGUCGAGUCUCUUUAAACUCGUAAUCUCAAUUUCGCUAGAAACGCACAAAUCUCAGAAAUCUCAAUUAUCUUUUACUUUUCCAGCGUGUUUACAACAUGGUUUUUCCCUUCAUCCAGGCUAGAUUGCGAAGAGGAAGCGAUCAUGGAGUCAAAGCUCAAGGUGAUGGAUGGGUUCUCACCGUAGCUUUGAUUGAGGGUGCUAAUUUGGCAUCCCUGGAUUCAACAAAUGAUUUAGACCUUUACGUGGUUUUUACCUGCAAUGGCAAGGCAAGAACAAGCUCUGUCAAGCUUCAAACUCAUGUUACUCAAUGGAAUGGUAAUUUCUUGAAAGGUCAUUUUUUUUUUUUGUUGUAAAUUAUUCUCAAGAUAUCUGCUAACUUGUUUUAAUGUUGAUGCUAUGCAAAAAUACUUGAGUUCAAUGCCAUGGAAGAACCUCCAUCGGUGUUGGAUGUCAAAGUUUUCGAUUUCGAUGGGUCUUUUUAUAACAUCUCAAAAAUCAGGUUUAGUAGAAUUGAGUUUGUGAAUCGAGAGAGAGUGUGGUCAUCCCUUAAUCUUUGAGAUUACCUAUACGUUUUUAAGAAAUAAAUGAGAUAUUGGUUUAUUGAUUAAUUGUUAGUAAAACGUUCCUUGAAA